rnacentral:rRNA from 1 species
UACGAAGGGUGCAAGCGUUACUCGGAAUUACUGGGCGUAAAGCGUGCGUAGGUGGUUUGUUAAGUCUGAUGUGAAAGCCCUGGGCUCAACCUGGGAAUUGCAUUGGAUACUGGCAGGCUAGAGUGCGGUAGAGGAUGGCGGAAUUCCCGGUGUAGCAGUGAAAUGCGUAGAGAUCCGGAAGAACACCGGUGGCGAAGGCGGCCUGCUGGGCAGUUUUGCUGACACUGAGGCGCGACAGCGUGGGGAGCAAACAGG